rnacentral:lncRNA from 1 species
AUAUGAGGCCCUUCAUCUCCUUCCUGGUGUUGCAAUCCCUUCUCUUUGCGAUUGCUUAAUCCACCAACUGCCUCAUGCCAACACUUUGCCUACUAUUUUCUUCUCUGUCUCUCCUUCUCUGUGGCCACUUCGCCAGCUUGCCAGCAGUGGAUUGGCCUGGAAUGGUGGUCACGUGACCAAAUCCUGACUGCUGUGAAGCACCCACAACUGAGUUUUCCAUGACGCACCUGCUGCUGUCACAUUGGCUCUCAAGUAAAUAAAUGGUCAAAUCUUUCCCAAAAGUGCUUUUGACAAAGAACAGCUUAAAUUGCCAAAGAUGUUGACAAAUGGGCUGCUAUCUCGGAGAGCGAGUAAAGUAACCCAUUUUAGCGACAAGAACAGAUAAGGCCCACCUCUUCCACCUCUUUGUCUCCUUGCCUUUUUACGCUGAUAUUCCUGUGGAGACAAAGAAAAAGAAGAAAAGGAAACAGGCAGAUCUUUAGCGCUGGCUCUCCGAGGGUUGAUUAGGAUGCUGAUCUGUGUGACAGGUUUCUAGGUUCUCACCCAACUUCUUGGCUGCUAUUCAAAGGAUUUAACAGUGCGCUUUGUAAAUAGUGGUGUACAAAGCCAGUCUAAAAAUAGUACAUUUCCAGGGUCUGAAUUGGGUGAGUGGCAGCGGCUGUAUUGUACAAGACAGAUUACAAGCAAGUUAUUUGAUAGCACUUGAUAUGCGGGGUUAUUCACAUGCUUCCUCUGGUUUGGUUAAAUAAUGCAAACCCAUUUACCAACACGCACUAUUUUGUUUAUUUGUGCUCUGGAGAGCUUGCAUGUGUUUAUGACCAACAAAUGUACAUGUUCUAUUUUCUGACAAUCAAACAAAGCUCUCCGGAUGAGGUAAACAGCUGAGUUAAAUAGUGGAGCUGACACUCCUGAGAAUCGCUGAUGUGACACUUUGGUGGUUGUUAAUGACAGGUUUCCUGCUGCGCUUGCUGCCCUAAAGGAUUUUUGCUGAAGGUGGGAAUCAACAAGAGACUCUGAUGACUAGGGGGGAAUGCUAGGUCUGGAUGAAAUCUCUCUUGAAACCAUGUGCAUGAAGGCUUGUGCUUCACUAGUAAUUUUUCACUGAGAGAGCUACUUUGCUUGUUCUUUCUCACCCUCAGGCCCGUGGUUGGGCUGUGUGGGACCACAGAGAGAAGAACAGUCCUUGCUGUUGCCACUGUGGAACAGAGGUCAACCGUACCUUUCACAGGAGACUCAGGCUCAGGGAGAAUCCCAAAGGAACUUUAAAUAAGGACAUAAUUUUCUGAAGUAAAGAUACUGGGAAUGUGUUUUGCAGUCAUUUGAAAGCAAAAGACACUGCUCCCAUUUGUGUUCCUAUAUAAUUUGAGGAGAGAAGUGUUCUAUGUCAAAAUACAAUAUAAUUAUUCCCAACAUAAAUAAUUGCCUUGCAGGCAAUUUGAAGACUUUCUUAUUUCAUACAAUGUGGAAACUCUUAGGUGAAGCCCUCGGUUGUUCUGGCAGGUUGAUUUCCUCUUAGAAGAUGGAAACUGAGAACGGGGACAGUUCUUGAAGGGGCUGGACCAGAGAAAUACACUAAAGAGAAUUUUUUAAAAAACCCAGCCUGUCACUUUAGCAAACAUUUCUCCUACCCAAAUUUCAUGCCUUUAAUUUGAUAUAAUCUCAGGUAAAUUAGGUCUGACUGUCUAGGAGUGUACAUUUUCACACUCUUCUCUCCCCUACUUAUGUAUGAAGUUGAGAACGGUACAAAAACUCUUUUGACCCUCCAGUUUACUCAUCCACAAAACAGUGAGAAUAAAACCUACCUCGUUGUGAGGAUUAAAUUAGGUAAGGUAGGUAAAGCACCUGGUCCAUGGGAAUAAGUGAGCGCCUGGGCACGGUAUCCUGGACAUGGCCUCUCACCUACCCAAUAACGCCCUGGUCUCCCUCAAAAUAGGUAUCAUCUCACAGGCUAAACACUGUGCAAAUGUCCAAUUCCUUUUGAGCAUUACCAGUAUCACCAUUAUUAUCAUCCUGGUAGUUAAAGAAUGAAUAGUUCAGACAACAUUAAAUCAGAAUUUCCUGGCAUUUUCCUCUUUAUCACCAACUACAUGAUAGUGGGGAUUAUUUUUUCUUUGGAGCUGAAGAUAACAUAAACCAUGAUUUGGGCCAUCCUGGAAUUUCCUCAAUCUGGCUUUUAGUUCUUAUGCAAAGGAAUUAUGUUUUUUUAAGGUAGACAUUUGCUUACAUCCCUAAAGAGACAGAAAAACACAGGUUUCAUCUCUUAUUUGAACUGAAUUUUUCAAACAAACAAAAGAAUAUAACCGAAUAGACUUGGGGGGGCAUACCCUCAGGCAUGAGCAAAGUGAACUCUCAAAGAGCCUGAUACAGUUAUGAAGAAAUGAACAGCCAAGUAACACCCUACACGUCAUAGUAACGGCAAAAAUAUUACAAACCCACCAUGGUUAUAAAGUUAAGAAGAGCAUAUGACGUAGCUCCAUAAAUGGAAAACUCACACUAUAAAAUAAAAUGAGAUGGUACCACUACUAGUAACUCUUCUCAAGAUUGGCUUUCAGUAUUUGAGCUACAGUUUUCUCAGCUUAUUCUACAUGAAGGAUCACUUUGGAUUUAGUGAUCAUCACCCAAAGUUAACUAAGUUCCUAGAAACAAAAUCUCAGUCAAAUAUGUGAAAAUAUUGGAAUUGACCUUUUUAAUAAAAUUUUCACAUCGUUGUACUUAAAAACUAUAUUGAAAAGACAGUAUUUUGUUUUUUAUUUUUUUUAAUUUUUUGCCAUUUCUAGGGCUGCUCCUGCAGCAUGUGGAGGUUCCCAGGCUAGGGGUCUAAUUGGAGCUGUAGCUACCGGCCUACGCCACAGCCACAGCAAUGCCGGAUCCUUAACCCACUGAGCAAGGCCAGGGAUCGAACCCACAACCUCAUGGUGCCUAGUCGGAUUUGUUAACCGCUGAGCCACAACAGGAACUCCAAAAAGACAGUAUUUUGAAAAAUGUCCAAGUUUCAUUUUCAUUGGCCAAGUUGAAUUGAUUCCUCUGUUUUCUCUUCAAAGGGGUACAAUCUUGCCUCUAAGAGGCUUCUCUUCUCAAAGGGAUGAAAUGUACUAACACAGAAACUAAAAGAAUGAUACUUUCCCUUUUAAUUCAUUUGAGGUUUAUUUUCCUUUUCUGUUUUAUCAUAAGCCUACCUACUAAUGUGCUGACCGUGUUCUAGGCAUUGAGAGGGAUUAAGAGCUGUCACUAUAUGCAUGGAUCUUGUUGAGGGAAAAAAUUACUUUCAUGUAAGAACCAUUCAAGACAGUGUCCAUAAAUGCCCAAUUAAAUUUAGUCAGCUGCUAAUAUAAUGGCAGAGAUCACCAAGGCUGUAGAUGGUUGACACCUGGUAGGCUGGUAUGGCAGAGAAGUGGAAUUUAGUAAAAGGAGAAGAUGGUUAUCUGCAAGCCCUGAGUCUUGCUUCUUUCAGAAGAAACCAAUCUGCUGACACCUUGAUCUCAGGCUUGCAAGCAACUAAGUUUCUUUUGUGUGAGCUACAAAGGCUAAGGUACUUAGUUAUGGGAGCCCAUGUAGACUAAUACAGUGGCCUUAAAAGAUGAGAUUUGUUUGGGGGCAAGUGGGUGCUAAACUUCUCUCUCCCCUAUUAUUAAAUAUCUAAUUCUUAUUUGCACUCCCCCCCCCUUAUUUGUAUCCUUGUGUAGAAGUUAGAAGAUGGUGGGGGAAAGGAAGAUGGGAAAGGAAUUUGGGAAGGGUAAAAUGAGAGCAGAGAAAGGAUACUAUGACACCAAAGUAGGUUUUACUAGAGAUCAUUAGAUAUGGAAAAGCAACAAAAAGCAGCAACUAUAAAAGCUGUGAGCAGUUUUAAAACUAAGAAUGACAUUAAGAGUAAGGAACUAUAGCGUGUUUAACAAGAUUAUCAAAAAUCUGAAAUUUAUCUGCACUCAAUAAGGAGGUGUUAUUGCUCACUUGUGGCCUCUUGAUAAGUUCAACCUCUAUCUUCUAAAGAUAAAUUCCAAUAUUAUAAUUAUAGUUAUGACUUAUUUGAUAUUUAUAAUACCCCAGGGUUGCCUUCUUGCCACAUUAUUUUUACACUGUUGAAAUACAUUUUUUUAUAAUGGAUAUAAAUGAUGUAAAUGUAAUAUGGAAGCAUUUAUAUUGAUAGUAAAGACAUGGCUGAGCUACUUAGUCAAAUAAGACUUGUCACUCAAGUGAGUCUCAUUACCCAUUGAGUAGUUCCCAGUGAUUGAGGGGUUUUCAGUUGGUUGAGAAAGAUAGUAGGGAUAAAUGCUAGUACAUGAAGAUAAACUGCUGCCUCAAAUCUAAGCUGUUAAUCUAGGGAGACCCUGAAACUCACCUAAUAUAUUCUACCACCCAGAUAUAUUUUGUUUUCAGUGGUGAUAUCAAAAAAAUUUGUUAAGUGGCCACAUGCAUGUUGUUGUUUCUUAAAGAAAGAACUUAUGUUUGGUCUAAGCUCCUGUGAGUAGUUUAGUCUCAGUAGUGAAUUUAGGAAAAUGUUUCUUUUUUUCUUUCUUCUUUUUUUUUUUUUUUGGUCUUUUCGCCUCUUCUAGGGCUGCGCCCGCCGCAUAUGAAGGUUCCCAGGCUAGGGGUCUAAUCGGAGCUGUAGCUGCCAAGCCAGCCUAUGCCAGGGCCACAGCAACAUGGGUUCCGAGCCGCGUCUGCAACCUACACCACAGCUCACGACAAACCAGAUCCUUAACACACUGAGCAAGGCCAGGAAUCGAACCCGCAACCUCAUUGUUUUUAGUUGGAUUCGUUAACCACUAAGCCACUACAGGAACUCCUAGAGAAAUGUCUCUUUCAUUACAGUUGUGCAAACUGUGUUGGGCAAGGGGCCAGGAGAACUACUGAGGAAGGUUUAUAUACUCUGGUCUAAACUAUUAGGAAUUUGGUAUAGAGAAUGUUAAUAUCUUCAGAACGCUCCUUGUUUUCCCAAGGACCAAAAGCCUGGGUGCCUUCAGAGGUCCCUUUCUGGCCAAGGCUGUAGGUUCUUAUAUGCAGUUGCUGCCUAGAGCAUCUUCUAGCCCCUGGCGGUCUCACCAAGCUCUGCCUCAACCUGUUACCCCUGCCUUACAUAUUUGCUGUUGUUGACACUUUGUUACAGAUUCAUGCAUUUCAUUCAUGGAGUGCUUGAUAUGGAUGCUUCAACCUUCCUCAGUUUCUGGGCUGAAGUGCCACUUUAAUGAGCUUCCUAUAAUCAGGGGACAGUAUUUACUCUCAUGCCCAGCCCUAGUUCCAGAAAUUCUAGAGUGAGCCUCUGCUUUCCCAGAAAAAAAAAAGAUGUGUUUUUCUUUGUAUCUCUAUCAGUAGUAAAAUGCUCAGUAAAUAUUUAUUGCAUGAGAUAAAGAG